GACUCUUUCUCUCCCUCUAGUUGCUAGGUAACAAUCCUCCAGUGAGUGGUGUAUUGUCUGCUUCCACGGUGAGAGAGUUGGCUCUGGACUCCACCCUGAACAGAUACAUCCUGUCAGCCCUACAGAACGCUGAGGCUGGGGCAGCAGCGUACUGAAGAGUCAGAGGGUGGUGGAGUGUUUCCCAGCCCAGUGGUUUGUAGGGUUGAAAGGUCAGCAGACACUGCCUCAGCUGGAGCCCUUCUGCCGUUACCUCACCCACCUGGCCUCCGCUCUGCUGAGAGGUUCUCUGGGGGGGUCCGACGUCGACAAGAGGAACGCCAAGGAGCAAAUCAAGGAGGUGGUGAAGCUGUUAGCUCGUCUCAACGCUCUGGAUCACCUCAUCACCGUGGCAACGGAACACGGCAUCAAGGACAUCGCACCUCUACUGGACUCCAAGUGACGUCACCGCUGUGUGUGUGUGUGUGUGUGAGGUCAUCUGAACCCUGUGUUGUUGGGUCAAACUGCAAGGUUUAUCAUAAUGGACGUUAGUGUGUGUGUGUGAGAGCUGGAGGAGUGUGUGUGUGUGAGAGCUGGAGGAGUGUGUGUGUGUGUGAGCUGGAGGAGUGUGUGUGUGUGAGAGCUGGAGGAGUGUGUGUAUAUAUUGUGAAUAUUGUACAUGUGUGAAAAUGUGUCGGGAGGACUAGGAGACUAAGAGCAGGUCUGUUGGAUCAGGAGGACUACAGAUCAUCACACACUUCCUCAUCUGGAACUGCUCUACGGAGGAAUUCUGGGAGAUGUAGUUUCUCUCCACAGUCCUCAGACUGGGACUAUUGCUACUUUCUACGGCAGAACUGAUUUAAACAUGAACCGCCAUCUUCCCUCGCCACCUGGGCUGAAACCUAACAUGGUGUUUUGUCUCAUAGCAUGAUCCCCCCCUCCCCUCUCUCUCUCCCGUCCUCCUCAUGACGAUCGGAGAAAUCCGCACCAAGAAGAAGACUUUAUUGUCCGAUGUAGACGAAUGUCCAACGGAAACUUGUCUUUUUUUAUUUAAACUGUCAGAUGUCCUCUCACCUGCUCUCUCUCUCUCUUGUGUUUCACCCUGUGCCAUGACUUCUCUGCUUAGCUGAUCCUAGAUCAGCUUAUUGGUUGUCGCCCUAAUUUAAAAGGGUUGAAUGUAACUGAUCAUAGAUCAGUAUCUAGACUCUACUUCAUUCCGUUGACGUAGUGUCUCGCACACAAACCGUUCUCCAUCACGACCCUCUGAUUGGAUGAGGAUGUAGAGGGGGGGGGACGGGGGCUUUAUAUUUUAAUUUAGCAGAUUUUUGUGUUAAUGUUUUGAUUUGAAUUGAAUAAAAAGUAGCUGUGGAAUAA